rnacentral:rRNA from 1 species
AUUGAACGCUGGCGGCAUGCUUUACACAUGCAAGUCGAACGGUAACAGGCCUUCGGGCGCUGACGAGUGGCGAACGGGUGAGUAAUGCAUCGGAACGUGCCCAGUCGUGGGGGAUAACUACUCGAAAGAGUGGCUAAUACCGCAUACGAUCUGCGGAUGAAAGCGGGGGACCUUCGGGCCUCGCGCGAUUGGAGCGGCCGAUGUCAGAUUAGGUAGUUGGUGGGGUAAAGGCUCACCAAGCCAACGAUCUGUAGCUGGUCUGAGAGGACGACCAGCCACACUGGGACUGAGACACGGCCCAGACUCCUACGGGAGGCAGCAGUGGGGGAAUUUUGGACAAUGGGCGCAAGCCUGAUCCAGCAAUGCCGCGUGCAGGAAGAAGGCCUCGGUU